rnacentral:miRNA from 5 species
UAGCACCAUUCGAAAUCAGUGCU